AGAAGAGCAGGUUCUGUUCUUACUGCCAGCACCUGCGUGCAACCUUGAGCAAGCCAUCAGUUUUCGCUGCUCAUUUUCUCUGUAUGUGAAAUGAAAAUAAUUGUGCUCAUAGGACUGCUCCUAAGCUAACUUCACCUCCAUCUGAGAAGCACUUUGGGAUCUUCAGAAACUGAAGUAAUUUCGGCACGACAUUCAGUCUCUGACUCACUUUUAUCCUCAGUAAAGGUGACACAUGGCAGAAGAACAAGGCACGGAGUUGCCCUGGCUUCAGCUCUUUCCUGUUUAGUCAGAGCGAGCUGUUGGAGCCGUGUUUAUCCCCAGCAUCGCACCAGCAAUCCUCCCUGAAGACAUCUGUCAGGAUACUAUUUUCAAGACAUGUUUUUCCCUGCACAUUGUGCUUACACAGACAUUCUGGUGGUGCUCCAAUAGCAAAACGUCUGCAUGUGCAGUUCUAAAAAGCCUUUCAGAGAUGUAAAUCAUUAAAGACACAGGGAUUGGAAACCCUAUAGAUGCAAUGAAAAAGCAAAA
rnacentral:lncRNA from 1 species